UACGAGAGCCUCGAGCGUUAUCCGGAAUUAUUGGGCGUAAAGGGUGCGUAGGUUGUUCUGUUAGUCUUUUGUCAAAGCCCCGAGCUUAACUUGGGAUAUGCGGAAGAAACGGCAGAACUUGAAAGCGUGAGAGGCGUACGGAACUCAUGGUGUAGGGGUGAAAUCCGUUGAUAUCAUGGGGAACACCAAAUGCGAAGGCAGUACGCUGGCGCAUAUUUGACAC
rnacentral:rRNA from 1 species